rnacentral:rRNA from 1 species
UCAGUACGGGAGGCAGCAGUAGGGAAUCUUCGGCAAUGGGGGCAACCCUGACCGAGCAACGCCGCGUGAGUGAAGAAGGUUUUCGGAUCGUAAAACUCUGUUGUUAGAGAAGAACAAGUGCUAGAGUAACUGUUAGCGCCUUGAUGGUAUCUAACCAGAAAGCCACGGCUAACUACGUGCCAGCAGCCGCGGUAAUCUGA